AGGGAGAUGGCAAAGCCGCCGGCGGAGAGAAGAAAGAGGGAGACGCCAAAGCCGCCUCCGGGGGAAAGCAGGAGGAGGGUGGUGUGAAGGUGGAGGUGAACAAAAUGGAGUACCACGGAUACGGCUAUGCGCCGCCUCCACAGUACUAUUACGGACCACCCAUGUAUAAUCAUGGAUAUCCUGCCGAAGGUCCGAGCCAAUGGUACGAACCACCCAUGUACGGUCAGGGAUACAGCGGAGAGGGUCCGAGUCAUCAUGGUUAUGUAGUGGAGCACACGCCACCGCCUCAGAUAUUCAGCGACGAGAAUCCCAAUGCAUGUUCCGUCAUGUGAAACCAGGUUUACAGAAGGAAGACAAUCAAGAAGCCCAGAGUUGUAAAUAAAGCAAAAAAGCUUAU
rnacentral:lncRNA from 1 species